AUGGGCCGGCGUGGGGAAGGCUGGGUCCUCGCCAGCAGCCUGGCCCCCCGCCUCAUCCGGCAGCACCCACUACAAGCUCAAGGGCCACCUUCUCCCUUUCCUCUUUUUCACUUGCCAAAACCCUGGGCAGGGACCGCCAGCCCAACCUCAGCGGCAGCCGCACAGUGGGAACUUCAGCCAAAUAUCUGCAACAAACACUUUCGGUUAUACAUACAUACAUACAUUCAUUCAUUCAUUCAUUCAUUCAUUCAACUUGAAUUUCAUCGAAGCACAGGUAGGCUUUGGGAGGUGUGGAAAUGGCAGAUUCAGCCAACGAUCGCUUCGGCCGGCCAGCCAUCUAACAGCUGUGCCGCUUACCGAUUUAUUGCCUCACAGCUCCAAAUUCAUCCUUCAGUACCUGUUGGUAAGGGAUAGAAUUCCUUGAAAUCAUUUCUUCUUGAGAGCGUUAAGCACAGUGAAGUUUUCUCAGUAGAUGGUGCUGCGGAUUCCGGUGGCCGCACCACAGGUGACAGGACAUUCGGGGGCACCCUGCCGCAGCCACACACCCAGAAUGCAAGCUUCUUCAGUCACCUCACCGCCUCCGCCUCUGUCUGGCAAUCACUUUCCACAAGGCCCAAAGCGCCACCCUCCCCCCCCCCCCCAACCAUGUUGAUGUCCCGACUCCCUGGGUACCCUCGAUUGUCCCGCCACUAGCUGUGGCUCACCUGCAGUUGUUCCCUGCUUCCCUGGCCACACUGGCUCUGGCCUGUGCAACCCAGCACAUUUCUCUGCCAUCCAGUAGACUGCAACCGUGCCUUUUCCAGUAAGAUCUGAACCUCAGCUUUGGGGAGAUGCCCUCUCUUCCAAGUCUCUCUUUGGAUACUCUCCCUCAGCUCUAGGAUACCAUAUUGACUUGUCCUAUCUAUUAUCUUUUACUUUUAUUAUACCUCAGUAUCUUUUUUUCCCCCCAGCCUCAUGAUCAAGAGUCGCAUGCUGUACUGACUGAAACAGCCAGGCCUCCCUUGAUAUUCUUUAUAUUACAUUUUCCCUGCUUAAAUACUUGUGCGGUUUCUUCGGUGUAUUUGUUUAAAAAAAUUAAAAAAAAAAAAAUGUCGAGGCCGAGGGGCACCUGGGUGACUCAGUCGGUUCAGCGUCCGACUUCAGCUCAGGUCACGAUCUCGCGGUCCGUGAGUUGGAGCCCCGUGUCGGGCUCUGGGCUGAUGGCUCAGAGCCUGGAGCCUGCUUCAGAUUCUGUCUCUCUCUGUCUCAAAAAUAAAUAAAGGUUAAAAAAAAAAUGUCGAGGCCGA
rnacentral:lncRNA from 1 species